rnacentral:rRNA from 1 species
AACGAACGCUGGCGGCAGGCUUAACACAUGCAAGUCGAGCGCAUCCUUCGGGGUGAGCGGCGGACGGGUGAGUAACGCGUGGGAACGUGCCCUCUUCUACGGAAUAGCCUCGGGAAACUGAGAGUAAUGCCGUAUACGCCCGCAAGGGGAAAGAUUUAUCGGAGGAGGAUCGGCCCGCGUUGGAGUAGGUUGUUGGUGGGGUAACGGCCUACCAAGCCGACGAUCCAUAGCUGGUUUGAGAGGAUGAUCAGCCACACUGGGACUGAGACACGGCCCAGACUCCUACGCGAGGCAGCAGUGGGGAAUCUUGGACAAUGGGGGCAACCCUGAUCCAGCCAUGCCGCGUGAUCGAUGAAGGCCUUAGGGUUGUAAAGAUCUUUCAGCUGGGAAGAUAAUGACGGUACCAGCAGAAGAAGCCCCGGCUAACUCCGUG